rnacentral:tRNA from 1 species
AAAACUUAAAAAAAAAUUUUUUAAAUUUUAUUAAUUU